GACGAACGCUGGCGGCGUGCUUAACACAUGCAAGUCGUACGGUAAGGCCCUUUCGGGGGUACACGAGUGGCGAACGGGUGAGUAACACGUGAGUAACCUGCCCACAACUUUGGGAUAACGCUAGGAAACUGGUGCUAAUACUGGAUAUGUGCUCCUGCUGCAUGGUGGGGGUUGGAAAGCUCCGGCGGUUGUGGAUGGACUUGCGGCCUAUCAGCUUGUUGGUGGGGUAGUGGCCUACCAAGGCGGCGACGGGUAGCCGGCCUGAGAGGGUGACCGGCCACAUUGGGACUGAGAUACGGCCCAGACUCCUACGGGAGGCAGCAGUGGGGAAUAUUGCACAAUGGGCGCAAGCCUGAUGCAGCAACGCCGCGUGCGGGAUGACGGCCUUCGGGUUGUAAACCGCUUUCAGCAGGGACGAAGCUUUUUGUGACGGUACCUGCAGAAGAAGCACCGGCUAACUACGUG
rnacentral:rRNA from 1 species